rnacentral:rRNA from 1 species
UACGGAGGGUGCAAGCGUUAUCCGGAUUUACUGGGUUUAAAGGGUGCGUAGGUGGGUCUGUAAGUCAGUGGUGAAAUCUCCGAGCUUAACUCGGAAACUGCCAUUGAUACUAUAGGUCUUGAAUUAUCUGGAGGUGAGCGGAAUAUGUCAUGUAGCGGUGAAAUGCUUAGAUAUGACAUAGAACACCAAUUGCGAAGGCAGCUCACUACGGAUUUAUUGACACUGAGGCACGAAAGCGUGGGGAUCAAACAGG